rnacentral:rRNA from 1 species
UGAGUAAUGCUUGGGGAGCUGCCCGAUAGAGGGGGAUAACAGUUGGAAACGACUGCUAAUACCGCAUAACCUCUUCGGAGUAAAGCGGGGGAUCUUCGGACCUCGCGCUAUCGGAUGCGCCCAAGUGGGAUUAGCUAGUUGGUGAGGUAAUGGCUCACCAAGGCGACGAUCCCUAGCUGGUCUGAGAGGAUGAUCAGCCACACUGGAACUGAGACACGGUCCAGACUCCUACGGGAGGCAGCAGUGGGGAAUAUUGCACAAUGGGCGAAAGCCUGAUGCAGCCAUGCCGCGUGUAUGAAGAAGGCCUUCGGGUUGUAAAGUACUUUCAGCGAGGAGGAAAGGAUGUACGUUAAUACCGUGCAUCUGUGACGUUACUCGCAGAAGAAGCACCGGCUAACUCCGUGCCAGCAGCCGCGGUAAUACGGAGGGUGCGAGCGUUAAUCGGAAUUACUGGGCGUAAAGCGCAUGCAGGCGGCUGAUUAAGCCAGAUGUGAAAGCCCGAGGCUCAACCUCGGAAUAGCAUUUGGAACUGGUCAGCUAGAGUUCUUGAGAGGGUGGUAGAAUUUCAGGUGUAGCGGUGAAAUGCGUANAGAUCUGAAGGAAUACCAGUGGCGAAGGCGGCCACCUGGCAAGUAACUGACGCUCAGAUGCGAAGCGUG